AUGAACGCUAGCUACAGGCUUAACACAUGCAAGUCGAGGGGCAUCAGGAAGAAAGCUUGCUUUCUUUGCUGGCGACCGGCGCACGGGUGAGUAACACGUAUCCAACCUGCCCUUUACUCGGGGAUAGCCUUUCGAAAGAAAGAUUAAUACCCGAUGGCAUAAUGAUUCCGCAUGGUUUCAUUAUUAAAGGAUUCCGGUAAAGGAUGGGGAUGCGUUCCAUUAGGUUGUUGGUGAGGUAACGGCCCACCAAGCCUUCGAUGGAUAGGGGUUCUGAGAGGAAGGUCCCCCACAUUGGAACUGAGACACGGUCCAAACUCCUACGGGAGGCAGCAGUGAGGAAUAUUGGUCAAUGGGCGCUAGCCUGAACCAGCCAAGUAGCGUGAAGGAUGAAGGCUCUAUGGGUCGUAAACUUCUUUUAUAUAAGAAUAAAGUGCAGUAUGUAUACUGUUUUGUAUGUAUUAUAUGAAUAAGGAUCGGCUAACUCCGUGCCAGCAGCCGCGGUAAUACGGAGGAUCCGAGCGUUAUCCGGAUUUAUUGGGUUUAAAGGGAGCGUAGGUGGACUGGUAAGUCAGUUGUGAAAGUUUGCGGCUCAACCGUAAAAUUGCAGUUGAUACUGUCAGUCUUGAGUACAGUAGAGGUGGGCGGAAUUCGUGGUGUAGCGGUGAAAUGCUUAGAUAUCACGAAGAACUCCGAUUGCGAAGGCAGCUCACUGGACUGCAACUGACACUGAUGCUCGAAAGUGUGGGUAUCAAACAGGAUUAGAUACCCUGGUAGUCCACACAGUAAACGAUGAAUACUCGCUGUUUGCGAUAUACAGUAAGCGGCCAAGCGAAAGCAUUAAGUAUUCCACCUGGGGAGUACGCCGGCAACGGUGAAACUCAAAGGAAUUGACGGGGGCCCGCACAAGCGGAGGAACAUGUGGUUUAAUUCGAUGAUACGCGAGGAACCUUACCCGGGCUUAAAUUGCAGUGGAAUGAUGUGGAAACAUGUCAGUGAGCAAUCACCGCUGUGAAGGUGCUGCAUGGUUGUCGUCAGCUCGUGCCGUGAGGUGUCGGCUUAAGUGCCAUAACGAGCGCAACCCUUAUCUUUAGUUACUAACAGGUUAUGCUGAGGACUCUGGAGAGACUGCCGUCGUAAGAUGUGAGGAAGGUGGGGAUGACGUCAAAUCAGCACGGCCCUUACGUCCGGGGCUACACACGUGUUACAAUGGGGGGUACAGAAGGCAGCUAGCGGGUGACCGUAUGCUAAUCCCAAAAGCCUCUCUCAGUUCGGAUCGAAGUCUGCAACCCGACUUCGUGAAGCUGGAUUCGCUAGUAAUCGCGCAUCAGCCACGGCGCGGUGAAUACGUUCCCGGGCCUUGUACACACCGCCCGUCAAGCCAUGGGAGCCGGGGGUACCUGAAGUACGUAACCGCAAGGAUCGUCCUAGGGUAAAACUGGUGACUGGGGCU
rnacentral:rRNA from 1 species